UACAGAGGUCCCAAGCGUUGUUCGGAUUCAUUGGGCGUAAAGGGUGCGUAGGCGGCGCGGUAAGUCGGGUGUGAAAUUUCGGAGCUUAACUCCGAAACUGCAUUCGAUACUGCGGUGCUUGAGGACUGGAGAGGAGACUGGAAUUCAUGGUGUAGCAGUGAAAUGCGUAGAGAUCAUGAGGAAGACCAGUGGCGAAGGCGGGUCUCUGGGCCGAUACUGACGCUGAGGAGCGAAAGCGUGGGGAGCGAACAGG
rnacentral:rRNA from 1 species